GGCUCCUGCCCUGUUAUACUUUGUUAGGAAUCUGACCUCCCUUGCUCCUGGCUCUGCCUUUGCCUUUGGACCUGCCGGGCCCUGCCAGGUAUCUGACCCUCCCUUGCUCUUGACUCUGCCUUCGCCUUUGGCCGUGUUUCACUAGCAUCUGAGCAUUGCGUGCUCCUUCCUCUGGCCCUGGUGCUGGUGUUGCAGCCAUAGUCACCUGCCACCUCUGUCCCAGACGCGACAGCACUUCGUUCUAACACAGACAGCCAUUCCUUACAUGAGUGUCAAAAGCCUUACUCCUUCGUUUUAUGUAGGGUAUGUGCCCAGCACCUCUGAGACUUGCCCCAAGAAAAUGUGGGACCCGAUUCUGAGUCAGAGGGGGAGCAGCAGUUGGAAAGUGCCAAGAGAGCAGGAGCCGCCAAUUGGAGAGAUUAACAAGGACAAAAUGAAGGGAAUCCAGUUGUCACCGAAUCUUUCAGAGGACAACCAAGUGUCGUCACUGUACCUGGGAUCGUAUCGAUGCCAUGUGCAAGGCUUACCUUGGCUGCAACUCUCGGUACUUUACAGAGUGAUCCUGGGGGUCUGUGUGGCAAGAGCAGUGGGAGCAUUGGAAUGGGCCUUCGGAAAGCUGGGUUCCCAUCCCCACCCGGUCACGAAGACUGCACGGGUAACGCUGGGCCAGUCGCAGACUCUCACCCAACCUGCCUGUUGUGAAGAUAAAAUGCAGAGGUAUAGUGUCAAUAUCACGGAUUAUAAUUAUCUUCUGCAAGAAGUUACCUGGUUCCGUUGCUGCUCACUUUUUGGUGAGCUGCUGAGGCUGUCCUUUCCAGCAGGCUUUUACAAAAUGCCCUUUUCGUUUUUGUGUUGUUCGCUGAUUUUAUAAUGUUUAAUUUAACCUUGGUGCUUUAUGUAUUGCUCUAGAUAUUUGUAUUGGCCAAUUCUGGCCAGUUUGAGUAAAAAGACAUAAAGAAAUAAAGAAUAGAGGGAUCGAAAUGCUUUUAAAUAAAUAUUUAUUUGGACACUGGAAAGGAUCAGAAAUAUAGCAAUUCCACCCUAACAGGAAGAGCCCUGCACGCAAAUUAAGGUUUCUUUGUGGAAGAUUUUGAAACCUGGAUUUAUGGAUUGAUCUAGUCUCUUUUUGGCUGAAUUUGGCUGAGUCCAAAUGCAAAUGCUGUUAACCUGGAUAAAUCCCCAAACAGUGCAGGACUGUACCUGAUCAAAUGAUGCCCCCCAGAGAGGAGUCUCCACCAAUCCCACACCUUCCUUUUCAUUAAGGCACUGCAGUUGUGAGUCUGAUUUCUGCAGGUAUUUGAAGCUGGUUGAUCCUGCUUGCUGCCGUCCUGACUAUGAAUGAAUUCAGAUCAAACUGAGGAGGAGAUCUUUCCUUCAAAUCGCUCCGUGAGUAGUCCGAUUCCAUUUUCUGUAAAUGCUAUUAGUGCACAUGCUGUUAUUGCAUGUACUCAAGGCUGUACCUGGCAAAAAGAAAAGAUUGAUGUUCUUUUGUUGUUUAAAAGAGGCAUAGCUCGUGUUCCUUACAUGCACAGACCAAUCUGCGAAGCUGCAGAAGGAAGAUGCAAACGGUGACGCACAGAAUGUAUUUCAGAGCAGUUGGAUCCUUCACAGCUAAAAGGAAGAUGCGGGGAGAGACAAGUACAGGCAUUUGAGGGCUGGUAUGCUUUCCUGAGCAGCAGCAAGCUUUGCCCCUAAAGGGAAUAUGCUCUAACCCAUUUGAGUGCAAAUUUAUGGCUGUACUACCCUGAGCAUUGAUUGUUUAAUGGGAGCAUCACUAUUCUCCCAGCCUUAAGGAAGAAGGUAGCUGGCUUAGUUCUUAGCCCUCAGCUUCACCAUCAUUUCUGUUGCCCUUAGUUGCUCUGGGAAGUGCUAGGUUUGGUACUGGGAGUCUGAGAAGGACAUUCCCUGUGGACAGAAAAUACUUUCCUGUGCUCCUCUUUGUGUCCCUUCCCAGAAAAGCGCUCAUACUGCACUAUUGUGCGGUAGCAGGGUGUGAAGUUCUUGGUGUACAUCUUAGAGAUGCCAUCUUCCAAUUUUAAAUUUCGAUUUUAAAUAUCCUGUCUUACUUGAACUUCAGUGGGACACAUAGAGUGAUGGCACAGGAGAUCUACAAUUCAGAGAUGAGUGCUUUUAAAAUUUGUUCUUUAUAUUCUAGCAGUUUUUCUUUAAAAAACACAGAGCUACCAAGCAAAUUACACUUGUCUCAACAUAUUGUAAUGUUUCCUUCUCCCACAGCAUUGCAUUUGAUUGCCUGUGCAGUCUGAAUGUCAAACCACCAAAAUCUUGAUUAGAAGUUUGCAGCUUGUAUAUUCUGGAGGCCCGUAUUGAGUUGGGCCCCCAUCCAGGCCGCCAAGCCGAAGUGGGCUUUGAGCUGGGUGACUCAGCAUUUGGGUGUACUCUUUGCAGCAAGCUAGGGAAAAGGGAAACAGUGAUGUCUUUAACUGCUUUCCGGAGUUGUACAGAUUCUUUGUAUCAGCUUCCAUCAAUCAGCUUUAAAUAUGUUCCUUUUCACUGUCCAGUUUAACAUUGUUUUUUCUAGAUAAAAAUCAACACAGUUCAGCUUUUCUUGGAGACAGUAUUACCAAAUGUAAUAAGCACUACAAAUAUGAUAAAAACAUAUAUUAGAUGAGAACAGGAAAAAAUGUAAGCUCACUGGGGUGUGGGCACCAAAGGUGGCUGAAGCUUGUGCUCCUUCUCCUGUCUUGUGCGAAUUCUUUCCCUUCUUUUAUUUUUCUGAACUGGCCAUGGUUUGGACCACAUUACAUCUAUUGGUGCUGAUAUAAUGGCAGCUUACUUCAAACUACAGUUGGUAAAUUAUCUCCUAACCAUAUUUGCAAAUUGUAGGUUGAAGGCAAGUCUUAUUUUGUUAUCAAAAUUGUCAGACCCGGGACCAAAGGUAUAUGUGAAGUACCAUUUCAUCCCAAUCAUUUUUUUCCUUAUUUUUUUUUUGCCUUAUGGCUACAAGGGCCCUCACAGCUAUUUCAGUAUUAAAUAACUACACUUUUCAAUAUUAAGUUUUUUAGGUCCUUCUUCUGAACCAUGUAUAGCAAUUUCUGAUGACUUACACAGUCUGGCAGUUUUUGCUAGGAACAAACCUGUGAUUUUAAGGACUGCAAGCAUGGGCAGCUCACUUUGAUGGAUCCUCUUUACUUUGUGGGUGGCACUGUCAGCAAUAUUUACUGAAACAAGAAACAAACUUACGACUUUAAUGUGUUUUCCUUAUGAAUCUUCAUUGCAGUUUCCCUUUUCCUUGUACGUCCUUAAAUUCCAGUUCACUUUCCCUCUACUGUUUCAUUACUACAUUUUCUUAUUUUCUAGCUAACUUCGUUUCCUCAUUUCCCCCCUCUUCAUUUCUGGUUUAUUCUCCUUUUCCACAAUUGACUCCUCCUAUACAUUCCUGUAACCCUUCUUUGGCGUCUCUGCACUGCUACCAGCGCAGCAGGAGCAGCAGCCCCACCGCCAGCUGCCUGCAGAGGCGGUUCUGUGGUUCUGGAGGGUGCAUCUGCCUGCCCCGUGCAGUCCUGUGGGAAAGCAGACCAGAAUGAGGAGUGUAAAACUCUCCUGGUUUAACAGGACUUAUGGUUGGAGCUACACUCUCCACCCCAAAGGUUUGAAAGUACGUAAAAACUGUGCCCUGCGAGAGGAGCUCCGUUCCUGUUUCUGCAGUGCUCUGUUCUGCCCAUGAAGUCCGGUCUCUCAGUCACCAAGCCUGAAGCCGAGGCAGGCCAGCAGGGACUGGCCUCUCGUCAGUUUUCACUGCCCCUCCUAAUUAAAAUGCAGUUUGUUUUUUGCCUUCCAAAAGCCUGCAGAGCAGAUGAACUGCCUCCCCACCGGCUUCUUUUGGCGCUCCCUGCAAACUUGAGGGCUGACUAUGGGCCUGUCAAGCGGAGAGGUAAUGAGCAGGCUGCUCUGAGAUGUGCGUCUCUGCCCAGGGAAUGAUUGAAGGAUCCAGUCACACCUCAUGCAUAGACACAAUACAAUGGUCUGCACCCAGCAAGGCCUGACUGAAAGAAGCGAACGGCAGAGCAGUAAAUCGUGGAGAGAUGUUGUGGCCAGCUUCCUGUAGGGAUGGUGCAGAGCGCUCAACAGCAUGGUUCGUUUUUUAAAUCAAUGCAUGUUUCAUGGCACAAAGUUAGACCGUUUUUGCUUCAAGGAAUGAUGGUUGUUGUGCGGUGGACACAAGCCGAUGGUGCCAAAGCAAAUUAUUCCCCCCUCGUUUGGGACUUGGGGAGGGCGGUUCCAUUUUCUCAUGCCAUAACGAGCGUCCCACAGAUGUUCAGAAAGGUCUUCUAUUCUGAUGGCAACUUCCAGCCCUGGCUAUCUGCGUCAGCUGUGGCGUUGUGGGUGCCAGGGUCAAGUUGCUGAUGCGAGCUGUGUACAAUAACUGGAAGCCAUCUGGAGAGCGCACAAAAGCUGGCGAAAGCCCACAAAACAAAAUUUCAGAUUUUCUUUAAAAAUUAUGCAUAACCUCAUGUAUGCAUAAGAAAUGCUCAGCUUGGGUUUUGCAGGCACACAUCUGUUUCUUUUCUUCUUCUUUUGGAUGAAUCUGGUUCCUGCAAAUGGAAUACCUUUCGCUAGGCUGGCUCUGGGUUUCUCAUCAACUAUAAAGACUAUCUUGUGUGAUUCAUAGAUGCUUUUUCAAAGGCAGCUUGGGAUGCUUCUGUGUAUCUGCUGUCUGUCUGUGUUUGAUCCCAGGUUAAGGUUUCACAGAUGUUGCCUCCACAGAGCUGGCCCCUUUUAUCUCUCAAGCUUUGGAGCAGAUCCUGUCUCCAAGUCUCCAUCUUUGUGGAACUCAGCAGACAGAAUUGUCUUCUGCUUCCCAGUUUUUAAACGGUAUGUUAAGUUUGCGGUGGCAGUUAGUUCUGCUCAUGUCAUUGCAGUCACUGAAAUACAGUAGAGUAUCUAGAGCCAAUAUUAUACCAGGUUUAUCGAGGGUGACUAUAAAGUACUGGCCUGGAAGUCCCUGAUUCAAAUGUUAGCUCCACCAGGGUGAGCUCAUGAAGUAGGCAGCUCUCUCGCAACUCCUAAGCUUGUCUUGCAGAGCUGCCAUAAGGAUGAUUGGGAGACUGCAUGUGAAGGAAAGAGACUGAUCACUUCCACAGACUUAAAACACAUACUGGUUCCAUCUAGAGCUGCAUGAGGAAGAUAACAGGGCUUUCCCAUCUCCUCCUACCUGUGGCAGCCCAUUGGUGCCCUGCAGAACAACACAGGCUGCGGGAAAUCGCCAUCAGCAGGAGCAGAGGAAACUUGCACAGAAUGAACUCACACACCAGGGAGAAGUGGGCGUGAAUGCAAGACUCACUGGAGAAGACAAUAAUGCUAGAGAAAGUUGGAGGCAGAAGAAGAAGGGGGAAGACCAAAUAUGGGAUGGAUCUCAUAUUGGACCUGAAGGAAGCCACAGGCUUGGGGUUUCCAAGAGCUGGGCAAGGCUGUCAUGGACCGGACUUUUACUGAGACGACUUCAUGACAUGUGUCAACAGCACUAACACCCCCACCAGCGACAACAAUGCUUUCUAUCACAACAGGGAUCUAGGAGCACUUGGGAAGCAUGGAAGAGAAAAGUUAGCCUCAAGCAAUACACCUAGCCAGCUAAGUGGGACCUAUGUGAGACCAUUAAGCUAAGUGGGACCUAUGUGAGACCAUUAAGUCCAAGGUCUAAAAUUAUUUUUCUGUAGCUCUGAGAAGGAUGAGCUGGGGAGUUGUCAGCAGAUCAACAGCUCAAAGGUUUAGGGUUAGUUGUUUUGUUUGCCUUCUCUGCGAUGCUCCUCCAAAGAAAGAGCUGUGUUGGGAGUUGACCAGAGCCUUGUCAACGUCUAGAUGGCUGGGUCUUUUCAGAGAGUGCUGUGCAGCGCUGAACGGUGUCCCUUUCAUGGGAAAAUAUAUAGCAGCCUGUCAUUCCACGUGUCUCUUCCAGACAAGACUGCCAUUCAAAUAUUAAAAGCGAAUUCCUUUUCCAAUGCUACAAUUAACUUUCCAGCUGGAAAAAGAAACACAUGAAUUUACUUUUAAUCUAGAACAGACUUUCAACUAGCAGAUACGGUCACAUUGUUAGUGUGAAAUGACUUGUGUCUUAUGAUUAUUGUUCUAUUUUAAAAGUUUUUACAUUUCCUUCCUCUCCUCUUCCUUGCAGUGUGAUCAGAGUCCCGCAUAUUUGCAUAUAAUGCUAAUUUAACCCAUGGUUAAACUUAUAGUUUGUUCCCUAGCCCAGGGGUAUGUUUGGCAGACACCCAACAAAUAGUGCCCCCCCCCCCCCCCCCCAGUUCCAGAGCUUUUUGGUUCCCUCCUUCUUGCCAGCAGAGUUCCUGUAUCCCAAAUGCCUUUGCAAUGUUGUAAUGCUGACAUUCUGAGUGUCUGUUUGGGGUUUUUUUAAAUCGCUGUUGCUCUGUACCUCUAUAGCCGGAUGGAACAGCCCAUUAUUAUGCACUGAGAUAAUUUUCUCUCCCCAACCCCUUCCGAAGCCAAUCAGUGAGACAGAUGGGAAGCUGCGGAUGGGGAGGACUUUUUCUGUUCCCCCCAGUGUGAUGUGAAGGGGUAGUAGCCGCUUGGGCACCUGUGGCAGGCAGUGUGGAAACGCCAGACAUGCAGUCUGCGGUCCCUGAGUUGCCCGGCUGCAUUUUAGAGGAACCUGUAAGCUCUGUGCCCUUGUUUACUUACAAUAUUUCUCUGCUGCCAGUCCACAAAAGUUCUCUUGGCAGUUCACAAACAAGUUAAAACCUUGAAGUAUAAAAAUAAAAUGCAAACAUAAAAAUCCGAAUGAGUUAAAAAGGCACCUGAAAACAACCAGCCUUAGCAAACAACGAUAGUGUGAAUGAUUUUAAAGCACUAAAACUAAAUUUAGUGGGAAAGUUGAAAAGUGUUUUGAUGCACUGGAAAGGCCUCACUCGUCAGUUCCAGGGCUGGAGAAGGCAUUCCACAGAGCACCGCCAAUGGACAGAUCCUUCCCUUCGUGGCGGUCCUGUGGGAAGAUCCUCUGAAGAUGCUGUCGAGUCCAGGCAGAGAAGAGAUGAUUCUCUAGGUAACCUGACCCUGAGUACUUUAGGGCCUCAGGCUGAAUGCCAGAACUUUACACUGGUCCCACACGUGGACAGACCUGGCAAGCGCACCUGAGCCAGUGCCGGUUAACCAUUGUGGCCCUAUUCUGGACCACUUGCAAUUUCCGGAUCACUUUCAAAGACCGCCUCAUACAAAAUAACAUUGAAGAGAACUUCCAGACAUCGGGUGGGCUGGCUCUGUGCCCCAAGGGCUGGUUUCCACGUAAAAAUCAAUAUGUGUGAGAUGGGUUUUUUAAAUGCUGAAUGCAUGAGGCUGAAGUAGGAACCACAGUGACUGUUCUCGUCAUCCCUCUGCCUUCUCUCCCUCCCUCUCCCCUCCCUCUUCUCUCGCUUUCAUGCUGUGUGUGUGUGUGUGUGUGUGUGUGUGUAAAGUUACUCUUGUGGCCUUCAUUGUUUUAUGGAGAGACCAUUUUAAUUAAGGCUUUCCCUAAAGUGAAGGAGGAAGAGGAAGAGGAAGAGGAAAAUAAAAAGAAGUGGGAGUCUAUAUAGACUUGGAUUUACAUGGCCAUGAAUGUCAUUUGGUCUCAGGAAAGGCUUGAGGUUUUUAAAUUGGUUGUCUGUCUCUGCUGUUAAAACAUGCAGGAGACCACAGAAGAUUGUGGAAAUGGUUUGACCUUUUAAAUAAAAUGUUCACUGGA